rnacentral:rRNA from 1 species
ACACUCCUACGGGAGGCAGCAGUGGGGAAUUUUGGACAAUGGGCGAAAGCCUGAUCCAGCAAUGCCGCGUGAGUGAAGAAGGCCUUCGGGUUGUAAAGCUCUUUUGUCAGGGAAGAAACGGUGAAAGCUAAUAUCUUUUGCUAAUGACGGUACCUGAAGAAUAAGCACCGGCUAACUACGUGCCAGCAGCCGCGGUAAUACGUAGGGUGCAAGCGUUAAUCGGAAUUACUGGGCGUAAAGCGUGCGCAGGCGGUUUUGUAAGUCUGAUGUGAAAUCCCCGGGCUCAACCUGGGAAUUGCAUUGGAGACUGCAAGGCUAGAAUCUGGCAGAGGGGGGUAGAAUUCCACGUGUAGCAGUGAAAUGCGUAGAUAUGUGGAGGAACACCGAUGGCGAAGGCAGCCCCCUGGGUCAAGAUUGACGCUCAUGCACGAAAGCGUGGGGAGCAAACAGGAUUAGAAACCCUUGUAGUCCC